rnacentral:rRNA from 1 species
GAUGAACGCUGGCGGCGUGCCUAAUACAUGCAAGUCGAGCGAACAGACGAGGAGCUUGCUCCUCUGACGUUAGCGGCGGACGGGUGAGUAACACGUGGAUAACCUACCUAUAAGACUGGGAUAACUUCGGGAAACCGGAGCUAAUACCGGAUAAUAUAUUGAACCGCAUGGUUCAAUAGUGAAAGACGGUUUUGCUGUCACUUAUAGAUGGAUCCGCGCCACAUUAGCUAGUUGGUAAGGUAACGGCUUACCAAGGCAACGAUGCGUAGCCGACCUGAGAGGGUGAUCGGCCACACUGGAACUGAGACACAGUCCAGACUCCUACGGGAGGCAGCAGUAGGGAAUCUUCCGCAAUGGGCGAAAGCUUGACGGAGCAACGCCGCGUGAGUGAUGAAGGUCUUCGGAUCGUAAAACUCUGUUAUUAGGGAAGAACAAAUGUGUAAGUAACUAUGCACGUCUUGACGGUACCUAAUCAGAAAGCCACGGCUAACUACGUG